rnacentral:lncRNA from 1 species
CAAGUUACUGAACCACCUCAGACUUGCAGAUAACAUUGUCAUCUUUGCUGAAACUUUUAAGAGCCUUGAGGAAGUCAUCAGGGAACUGGAUAAAUGAGGUAAGCGGACUGAAGAAAAAGAUGCAGAAGACCAGCAUUCCUUUUAAUUCAAGCAUGGAGAAAAGACCACAGUAAGGAAUGGGCUAUGUUCUGUGGUCUUAACUGAGGUGCUGAUCUGGAGAAUCUAUACCAACUCUCUCUUGGCUGGAUAGGAACCAGAGUCCUUGCUCCCGUCUUUGGCAGUCCCUGAUCUUACCACAUUAUUGUCACAUUUGUUUGCUGAGAAAACCAGCUUUAAAGAACAGUAAAUAUGCAAAACAGCUUUCACUCUAUACAGCUACCAUCUUGAAUACUCCACUUCCCCCACCAUCAAACACAUCCUAUCAAUAGAGGCAUGAAGAGACUGCCCAUGUAGGAGAGGGAAUCCUGAGCAAAGUUCCAGUGACAACCUUUCCCUUGUCCUUCUAUGAAAGCAUUGCUAGGCUGUAACGCUUCCACAUUGCUGGGUGUCAAGCAAUUGCAAAGAUUCAUAUUUCAACUUUCCUGAGCUGCAUGAUGAGAUCGACACAGGUAUUGACCCUAGCUACUGGCCCAUCCAAAAUGAAGCUGUUCUUUGUGCUGCACAAGUAUUUUUUGGCCCCA